UGAAGGUUGAUGCAAUUUGGUGAAGCAUAAGCCUGUCAGGCUCAUAACCUGAAGGUCGUAGGUUCAAAUCCUACCCCCGCAACCA
rnacentral:tRNA from 1 species